CAUUCACCUAGCCAUCAAAGGCAAAUAUAUAUUUGUUUCAUGGACUGUCAGCAAUACACAGAGUGAAACCAUCACCAAAACAAGCAUUUCACAACUCUCAUCUUCGUCAGGACACCAUCUCACAUUGAUUUCCUGAAAAAUAAAAUGAGCAUCGAGCAUGCUGAUAGAUCAUAUUCUCACAUUUAAUUUAAAUAUUAGCAACCAGCUAUAGAUGGCACUUCGCUUGCUGACUAUAAACCAGGAAGAUCUCCU